rnacentral:lncRNA from 10 species
CCCAGGGUCUGCACUCCUCCUCCCAUUUGCAGCCUUCGUAAGUGGACACUUCCAACCCCUACACCUGCCUGUCCUCCCAGUCCAGCCUUGGCCCGAGAUGUGAUCUAAUUCUCACUAUGCUGCUGUGGGCAGAGCACAUGGCAUCAGAAUGCUAGGAGCUGCUGUCGGGCGCCAUGGGAGGGAAUUCCCCAACUCAGGAAAGCUCUUCCAGCGGAAAGGAGCAGGUGGCGAGCCUCCCUGAAGAGACAGACACUGCCAACGCUACAGGCAGAGCCAAUCGUGGGGUGGCUAACAAAUUUUUCCAGCAACACAGAGCUGAGAGGAU